AUUAUAACAUGUACCUUCACAAAAUAUGCAUGCAAUAUGCAAAAUAUGCAUGCAUAUACAUAUGAGUAUUUGUAUGCAUGCAUAUUUUGUGAAGGUACGUGUUAUAAG